UUGCUCCACCGGAAAAAGAGGAGUGGCGAACGGGUGAGUAACACGUGGGUAACCUGCCCAUCAGAAGGGGAUAACACUUGGAAACAGGUGCUAAUACCGUAUAACAAUCAAAACCGCAUGGUUUUGAUUUGAAAGGCGCUUUUGGGUGUCGCUGAUGGAUGGACCCGCGGUGCAUUAGCUAGUUGGUGAGGUAACGGCUCACCAAGGCCACGAUGCAUAGCCGACCUGAGAGGGUGAUCGGCCACAUUGGGACUGAGACACGGCCCAAACUCCUACGGGAGACAGCAGUAGGGAAUCUUCGGCAAUGGACGAAAGUCUGACCGAGCAACGCCGCGUGAGUGAAGAAGGUUUUCGGAUCGUAAAACUCUGUUGUUAGAGAAGAACAAGGAUGAGAGUAACUGUUCAUCCCUUGACGGUAUCUAACCAGAAAGCCACGGCUAACUACGUGCCAGCAGCCGCGGUAAUACGUAGGUGGCAAGCGUUGUCCGGAUUUAUUGGGCGUAAAGCGAGCGCAGGCGGUUUCUUAAGUCUGAUGUGAAAGCCCCCGGCUCAACCGGGGAGGGUCAUUGGAAACUGGGAGACUUGAGUGCAGAAGAGGAGAGUGGAAUUCCAUGUGUAGCGGUGAAUGCGUAGAUAUAUGGAGGACACCAGUGGCGAAGCGGCUCUCUGGUCUGUAACUGACGCUGAGG
rnacentral:rRNA from 1 species